GGGGAAUAUUGGGCAAUGGGCGAAAGCCUGACCCAGCAACGCCGCGUGAGGGAAGAAGGUCUUCGGAUUGUAAACCUCUGUCCUAGGUGACGAACACAAUGACGGUAGCCAAGGAGGAAGCCCCGGCUAACUACGUGCCAGCAGCCGCGGUAAUACAUAGGGGGCGAGCGUUGUCCGGAAUUACUGGGCGUAAAGGGUGCGUAGGCGGUACUUUAAGUUGGAUGUGAAAUGCCCGAGCUUAACUUGGGGGGUGCAUCCAAUACUGGAGAACUAGAGUGCAGGAGAGGGAAGCGGAAUUCCUAGUGUAGCGGUGAAAUGCGUAGAUAUUAGGAGGAACACCAGUGGCGAAGUCGGCUUUCUGGACUGUAACUGACGCUGAGGCACGAAAGCGUGGGGAGCAAAC
rnacentral:rRNA from 1 species